UGUAUAUAUUGAGAAAGAAAUAUACAGUAGAGCUACAAUGGAUUCUAAUUUAAGUAGAUUUUGGUGCUUUAUUCAAGAUUGCAUGUUUAGUACCAUUUGUGAAUAUAACCCAAUAAUUGAAAUAAGGCUGAAAAGAUUGGAAAGGAAUUUAACCUAUUUUUCCAGACAAGGCCUUGGUAUUGGCAGGAUGACGGCAUUUGGCAAAUAAAUACACCUUAGAUUAUGCCUUUUCUUCAGAUUCUGUCCUCUUUACAGAAUUGUAUAGGAUAGAUGUCGUGUCUUUCUCAGGGUUGAGGAUCCAGCUUACUUGGGUCUGCCCUUUAACCAUAUCUGAAUAUCUGGGACAAUUGAGAGAUUCUUUCCAAUUCUGGAAUUUGAUAGUUUGAAUGUCUAUAAAUGCUGAUACAUUUCUUGAUAUGUGAGCUUAGAGGCUCUCGAUAGAAGGAUAUAGAUUACAAUUAAUUUGUAGAAAGUUGAUUCAUUUCCAGGUAUUCAAUGGGAGACUAUAAAAUUCAUCUAAGUAUUCUAAUCUAAUUUUGGCUAAACCUGAAUACAGAAUUUAUAUGAGGUGAAUGGGUUUUUAAUUAUGGUUGAACUUGAUCACUGAAUUAAAAAUAUUUAUAAUACUUUCUUUACCCUCUCAGUAAAAGUGCACACAUUGUAUGUGGAAUAUCCUGGUAGUUUGUCCCAAAAGAAUUACACAUAAAAAUAUUGGAAUAGUCAUUUCUUGUGACACUGCUAAAGCUUCUUCCAGUCAUAUUGGCUUGCAUUUGGUUACACUAAGAGUUAGAAAUGAUUUUUAUUUCUUUUCCUCCCAUAAUUACAUGUUUUUGUGGAUUGUAUUAAAGAGGGAAAGAGUGAAAUACUAGCACAAUUCAUGCUUAAAAUGAAUAACUGUAUAUUUAAUUAUAUCCCAGAUCAAUAAUCCAUUUGAGGCAUAGGAGUUCCACUGCACACAUAGAGCUUCCUGCAUCUAGCACCUUUUCCAUGCAUUUUAAAAGGAAAAGAGCCUUUUCAUACUUGUAUUUUUGUAGGCAAGAACUAGCUCAAAAUGUACAAAAUUGUGUGUGUAUCAAAUUGUGUGUAUGUAUGGGGAGGGGAGUGGGGUUACAGCCCUUGUUCUCCACAAGUUGCUCCACUCUCCUUACAAAGUCUUGCAUGUUGACACCCAUAACUCUUUCUUGUGAUGAAUCUCAUUGUUUAAUUAUGUGAGUAAAUAUUUUCUCUUCCGGUCCAAAAUCUUUCACUAUUCACCUUCAGUAAGUAAGCCUGGAUUCUAGCAUUGUAAGAGAGAUCUAUUCCCUUUCUCCACAUCCUGAAUAAUUGUAUUUCUGCCUUGCAUUGUUUCCAUUGCUCUUUUGCCCCUCAUGCACCCACCCCACAGCUAAUGGAAAGUGUAAACCUUCCUCAGAGGAGAAUUAGUUUAGUUUCUUAAAUUUUUUGAAUUCCCUUCUGCUUCAUACAGUGUUUUACCCGUGGUUGUACCAUAAAUUUGUAGAAGAGCAAUCUGAAACUGGGAAUUUUAUUUUAAAAUCUGUUUCUGACUUUGUCUAACGUUGAAUUUCUCCCUUUUUACAACAUCCACACACUUAUUGAGCUAUCCACCGCAAUUCCAAGAUCGCAUUUAUGAGAACAGUUAAAAAGGAAUGGGUCACAAUACAGUUCCUGCAGGGAUUCCACUCCAUUGGGUGUACGAGUUAAAGCAGCCUUUACAUUGAAGACAAAGGAGGAAGAGUUGUUGAAGAGAAAGGAGCAAACAGCUCCCUCCUGUCAUUAAAUAUGCCUUUUAAAACAUCUUAUUGCCUGGAUGAAUGCAAUAUUCAGAUCUUUGAUUGAAUGCAUGAGCUUUUUUAUUUUAAAUGGCCAAUUAUUUGGAGAUACCAGUAAAUGUCAAAAUGAAAAUAAAUCCUAGUGCUGUUGGAGAUUUAUGGAAAUUUUUCUGUAUGGAAAUUUGAGUGCAUUUUGUUUCAUAAACUAAUAUGAUAUAGACUACCAUAAUUUCAAGCUUAUCGAAUUCAGGUUGAAUGGUAAUGUGAACUCACAUUCAUUCAGUUGUUUAUGUAUGGGUAUCACCAUAUGGAGACAGGAAAAGAUUUCAUGAUUCUGUUCAUAUAGAUAAGCUGUGUUAUAAAGCCAAGAAAAUAAAAGGAUAAGAAUAAGAUAACAUAUUCAUACCAAGUUUAUUUUCUGCUAUAAGUAUGACCGUAAGAUAUUUUCUUGGCAUGUUAUUCAUAUUCAAAACACUAGAAAAAAUCUGCUAACCUCAAUAAUGGGCAUUCUUAAAAGAGUCUGAAACAUUCUUCAUAAAGAAUAGCUUUUUACCUGAAAUGUGCAAGCUGUCUUCAGAAUGACAAAAUAACAUUUUCAAUGGCAGCAUUUCAAACUCAAGGCAAAAAGAUUUCCGAUUUCUGGCACCUGGAAAGCAAUAAUGUUUGGCACACUCGGAGCACUUACUUUGGCUUGUGUAAAGUGUCAUGGCCAGGGUUUUUAAAGAGUGUAUGUAUAUUAAUAUUAACCCUCCAUAUUUAGUUAUGUUAUCAUCCAGAAGAGUAAAACAUUGCGUUAAUUUUUAACAUGUACUUUUUUCCUCACAAAAUAGUGUAUAACAGCUUGUCUUACCAGUCAUAUUGUUACUAAUUUCACACUGAUAGAAACAAAUUCAGGAGCUACUAUAGUAACAGAAAAAACAUCUGCAAAACAUAGUUUCUAGUUCUGGUGUACAUAGUCAAAUUCUUAUGGCUUACGUUCCGGUACUUUCAGCAGAGCCAACAUUUUCAGGAAAAGUUAUUAAGAGAGUUACAUGUUUUUAGAUCCAGAAGUAGUCUCAAAACCUCAGUCUACAGCACAUCUUUCUUCAAGUUUGAAAUAAGAAUUGCAUGUUAAUUAAUGCUUCUGAAGUCAUAAUUAUAAAUAAAAAACUGAUUAUGUUUUAUAAUCAUCAACAGGCUGGGAAAAGGUUAUCUUUGGCUAAAAGCUUUGUUCAAGAAAAACAUAUUUCAAAGACUGUACAAUGGCAACAUGCUUACCCUGUUAAUCAUUUAUUUUCAGUAGUUACUUUUUUGUGAAACUUAUAUGUAUUAUUAUCUGUAUUAUAUGUUGGAUAGCUGUUCUAGGCAUGAUGUAAAUAAACACUGUAUUGUAAUUUGUUCACAUGAAAAAUAGAAUUGUAUAUAGCUAUUAAAAUAAACCUUUUUCUCAUGAGUUUAAAAGUGAAAA